UCUAUACAGACUCAUGCAGUCUCCGGCAGCAACAGAGAAUUCCACCAUAACCCCAGGCACAGGCUGAGUGAUGGAUGCCAUGGAUGCUGAAUGAUAUGUGCCCGAGUGAACCACAGUGCACUCUGGGAAACCCGGAAUGAGAUGGUUAUCAUGCAAAAUGAUGGUUUUGCCUAUGAUUCAAUAUCCAGGAUCCAAGAGAAGCUUCUACAGCUUGGGCUGCAAAAACAACAACUGGAGUUAGAAGCUCUGGGAGGUGUAGACUAGAGGCUCCUGUCAUCUUUGCAGAGACAGAAGGCUUUGCCUGUGUUUAUCAAUCCUCUUUCUCCAAAGACAAACUAAAGAACUCAGAGGUGACUUGUAAUGAGGAAGGGAGCUGCCAGGCCCUUUGAGAAGAUCACAGCAUCCAAAGCAGAGACACUUUAAAGCCAGGCAGAGUGGAGAUGCCACUUAGAAACUCGGGUGCUUCCUGACAAAGAAGGACUCUUUCUGAAAAAAAGCUCAUCAAAUUGAACCUGCCCAUCAGGACUGGGAAGCUAAGAAGUCCAGAGCAAGAACCAGCUGAUUGCCCUGUAUCAUCUGGGUGGAUCCAAGGGCAUCUCAAGGAUUCUUGUUAGGUGGAGGGAGGAGAGUCAUAGUCUCAGAGAGACGUGUGAGGACUGAAGCAGAGCGUUGAAGAAAAAUGGGAUGAUGAGAAUCCCUAGCUCACACUGACAAUGUAAGGAUGUGGGCUGGGUCUGUGAACACAGCCAGAACAGGACUCCAUGUGGAAGAACACAAACAAGUGAGAUGCACUGGUUAUAUAUAUGCUGCUCUUCUCCAAGAGACUGCUACCUGCUGAGAGGCCCUGGAUAUAUUCCAGAGACAGCACCUGGCAGAUCCACCUACAGGCUGUCAACAGGCACCAAGAAUGGAUUGGCAGGGGAUGGGCCUCCCCUCUUUAUAAGCAGUCUCUUAGUAAACUCGGGGGCCUUG
rnacentral:lncRNA from 1 species